rnacentral:rRNA from 1 species
CCCGUAGCAAUACGAGAGCGGCAGACGGGAGAGUAACACGUGGGAACGCGCCCUUCGGUUCGGAAUAACUCAGGGAAACUUGAGCUAAUACCGGAUACGCCCUUACGGGGAAAGAUUUAUUGCCGAAGGAACGGCCCGCGUCCAAUUAGCUUGUUGGUGAGGUAAUGGCUCACCAAGGCGACGAUCGGUAGCUGGUCUGAGAGGAUGACCAGCCUCACUGGGACUGAGACACGGCCCAG